rnacentral:rRNA from 1 species
AGGACGAACGCUGGCGGCGUGCUUAACACAUGCAAGUCGAGCGGAAAGGCCCUUCGGGGUACUCGAGCGGCGAACGGGUGAGUAACACGUGAGUAACCUGCCCUUGGCUCUGGGAUAGCUCCGGGAAACCGGAAUUAAUACCGGAUAUGACUUCGGCCGACAUCGGCUGCGGUGGAAAGAUUUAUCGGCCAGGGAUGGGCUCGCGGCCUAUCAGCUUGUUGGUGGGGUAACGGCCUACCAAGGCGACGACGGGUAGCCGGCCUGAGAGGGCGACCGGCCACACUGGGACUGAGACACGGCCCAGACUCCUACGGGAGGCAGCAGUGGGGAAUAUUGCGCAAUGGGCGAAAGCCUGACGCAGCGACGCCGCGUGGGGGAUGAAGGCCUUCGGGUUGUAAACCCUUUCGGCAGGGACGAAGCGAAAGUGACGGUACCUGCAGAAGAAGCGCCGGCUAACUACGUGCCAGCAGCCGC